GACGUAGGGUCCAAGCGUUGUCCGGAUUUACUGGGCGUAAAGAGCGCGUAGGCGGCUCGUUAAGUGUGAAGUGAAAUCUCCAGGGCUCAACCCGGAAACUGCUUUACAUACUGGCGAGCUGGAGUGAUGAAGAGGUUUGUGGAAUUCCUGGUGUAGCGGUGAAAUGCGUUGAUAUCAGGAGGAACACCGGUGGCGAAGGCGGGUCUCUGGGCCGAUAUUGACGCUGAGGAGCGAAAGCGUGGGGAGCGAACAGG
rnacentral:rRNA from 1 species